GUGAGGAAUUUUCCGCAAUGGGCGAAAGCCUGACGGAGCAAUGCCGCGUGAAGGAUGAAGGCCUAUGGGUUGUAAACUUCUUUUCUCAGAAAAGAAUUAUGACGGUAUCUGAGGAAUAAGCAUCGGCUAACUCUGUGCCAGCAGCCGCGGUAAGACAGAGGAUGCAAGCGUUAUCCGGAAUGAUUGGGCGUAAAGCGUCUGUAGGUUGUUUAAAAAGUAUUCUGUCAAAGAUUAGGGCUUAACCCUAGAUAGGCAGAAUAAACUUUUAAGCUAGAGGUUGGUAGAGGCAGAGGGAAUUCCCGGUGGAGCGGUGAAAUGCGUAGAUAUCGGGAGGAACACCAAAGGCGAAGGCACUCUGCUGGGCCAAUACUAACACUGAGAGACGAAAGCGAGGGGAGCAAAUGGGAUUAGAAACCCGUGUAGUCC
rnacentral:rRNA from 1 species